UCGUGGCUCAGCCCCGUAUGUCCCCGGACCUCGUAUCUAUGUAUGUGUUGUAGGUAUUUACGAUCGUGGGCGAUCCACACAUGGCCUGGCGAUUACUGCCCCUCGACCGCCGCCGUCACAUAAUCGGAGGAAAACCGGACACAUAGCCGGAAGCAGACUCAGUCACUGGUUUGUUACAUGCUGGAGCACACCAUUGAUGUGGUGAAUCAUGAGUUCAUCUUUUCAUUUGAUCUCAAUUUUUGUUGUUGCGAUGAGCGGAGAUGAUAGCUUCACAAGCUUUUUUCUCUGUCAAAUGUCCCCAACUUUAUGAUCGCCUACGGAGUGGUACACAUAGUACGCUGACCGUCUGGAGGUGUCAUAAGCUUCAACACACGUUUUGGUGGCAUUGCCGUUUAAAGAAAUCAUCUCUGGUAAAUCGCCAGGAUUUUUUUUUUCUUCAAUAAAUGCCGGUCAACAUCUAGAAUAAAUCGUGUAAAUCGAAGACCAUAAAAACGGAGGUCACGAGUAAGUCUUCAUCUAAGCCGUUUUGUCGAGGUUGUCUGUGACAUUGUUCCAUUGAAAUAAUUACAGAUAUUUGACCUUUCUUUUGCUGGAUAGAUAUUCAGAUAUUUUGCAAAUUGAAGCGUAUUUUUCAACUAAAAGCUUUUUCGUUUUAUUUCGCCGCAAGUUGUGGAGCGCGGCGCAAAAAACUGCAUUGCGCAAUAAGUUUCCGUCCAGAAAGCUCCGCUGCGUCGCGCUGGUGUCGCAUUGGUGGCGGUCGCACCGGUGCUGUGUCCGGCGGCGCUAGAUGUCUGCCGAGCCCCAGGCCCCGCUGCCGCUGCUGGAGGGCCGACUCGUGUUCGACCACAGCUCGGAGGCGGACUCUGCGGUGGCCGACCUGCUGCACGACGAGCUGUUUCCGUCGGAGCCGGUGGACGAGCGCCGGCCAUUGUACGCCCACCGGCCCGGUGCCGAGUCCCCGGCCUCAGACGGCAGCACCGGCUCAGACGGGGAGCAGGAGGGAGGCGGCGGCAGGGGCGCUGCCGUCUCCGCCGAGCCGUGGGUGGAGGAGGCCACUGAUAUGGCGCCGCUCGGGGACGAGCUGCAGCACGAGCAUGACGAGGAGCCACUGUGCGCCGCGGCGCUGCACGUGCUCGACCGACGCCGGGUGAUCCGGGAGCGGUUCGCGCGGCGACAGGCGGCCGUACGCGAGCUGCAGCGGCGCUGCGGUCAGCGGCCGGCGCGCGGCGCGCCCGCCUGGAGCCCGCCGGUGCUGGUGUACCGUCCGCCGCCGCUGCCGGCCGUGCAGCGCCGACUGCUGGAGCCCGGAGAGCUGGCUGACACGGUCCCGGAGCCGGCCAGUCACACCCGCUGGCAGAUCGCCGAGUUCUGUCGCCGACACCUGGGACCCGAGGGAGCGGACGACACGCCCCGGUAGACGACCGGAGGGAGUUACGAGCGACAAUAAAGACAGAUUUCAGUGAUGACAUGCUGUAAUUGGAUGGUACCUACAUGGCACAUGUCAACACUGAGGAUAUAUUGGACAGAUUUUAACCGGCUGAUGACUUGCUUGUUCCGGAAUUUCGUGGUUUCCGGCCGCUGAGUUUCUUGGACUUAUAGAUCGAUGGACGGGAAUGGGAUCCAGUCUCUGAACAGGUUUACACCGUUACGUCCAUUAGCCCCUUGGUUCUAGUCCUGGUCGGUGUCCGGUGAUGUUAUGUUUGAUUGCCAUUCAUAGCGGUCUUUUACUUGCAAGUUAUAGUGACAACGCAUGUCUUUCUUAUGUAGUUCUUCCGAAAUAAAGAAAAGCCUGUGUAACUCGUUUUUCACUUGGAAUAUUCUUUACUUCCGGCGAAACAGCUGCCUUUGCUGACUAAGGAAAACGUACUAUUCAACCGGCUUCUCCUUAAGCUAUUCUGCUGUAAUAGGUAUGGAACAAGUAGCUCUAUUUAUUAGAAAAUGAAGACGAAUUGUGUCUCUCACUAUUUUAACAGUCAUCUCGACUUUGACUUCCUCCUGUGUCUACCUAACUUGCAGGAGGACACGGCUGUCACCUGGAACUGGGAGGAUCAGCCCACAUCCGUAGUUACUGUCCAGGACAAGAUCCGCGCCUACCGCGACUCGAGGGCGCGCGUCUCCGAGUCAGAGCCGGCACCGGAGCCGGACUUCUUCUCGGACAUGGCCCCGACGAUCCGCCGCUCUCAGAAGGUGCUGGUGGCGCCCCAGGAUGAGCCUCAGACGGCUCCCGGCGGCUUCUCCUCGCGUCUGGCCUACACAGACACCGCACUGGAGCCGCAGGGGGCUGAGCUGACUGACCUGGAGGAGCCCAGCGCCUGGGAGGCGGACGACAUCAACCCUGACGCCCUGGAGAACCACCAGAGGGCACUGCGCCACCAGCAGCUGCAGCAGAAGCGGGAGCGGCGGGGCGCGCCGCCGGUCCGGUGACCUGAGACCGGGUCACGGCUGCAGGUCACCGCGCCGGGUCAUCGGACGGGACCGAGCCGUCGGCAGGUGACCUGACGGAUGGUCACGAUGGAGGGUCACCCGACCUGGAAGGGUCCAUCCAGGUCACUCGUAGAUAGCUGACACAGUCCAUCGAAAGUGGACCACACAGACGCUCCUCGCGCGGCCUGCAUUCCUCUGUAGCGCGUGAACUGAGCUUUGGACGACUGUAAGGCGCCGGCGCACAGUGGACUACUGCCACCGAUGGCUCGUCGGGACGGCGUUUGGCGCCUGGGUGUGAAGUGGUCGGCUGAUCGGCCGCAGGUGGGGACCCAGUGAAAUGUGCGGAAUGUGUGGCGUUUGAUGCGCGAAAUAGACGUGGAAUGUAGCGAGAAUGGAGGCGCCGGCGGCGCCUAGAAUGCGUGACGCUUAUUCGUGGUUCUCGUGGUUUUAGUGUCACCACCGAUAAUGUUACAUGUUUUUGCACCGUUGCACUGUCGUGUUGGUGGUGUGUUGUUUUAGUCAUCUGCCGACGAUUUGGUGAUCAAAUGAGUGAUUUCAGUGAUUUCCGAGACGUGAGAUGGUUGUGCCGCCCCACGAUGGUGUUCUUUAUUUCAGCGGCUGUGGGGAUGAACAGCUACUGUGUAGUCCGAUGUGAAUGUGAUCGUAACAAUGGGGCUCAUAUAUUACAAUACAGACGAUUGGUAUCAGAAA